rnacentral:rRNA from 1 species
GCACGGCCGUAAACAUUGAUGCCCUAUAUACCCCGCAUCCGCCUGGGAACUACAAGCACCGGCUUGAAACCCAAAGGACUUGGCGGUGCUUCAGACCCACCUAGAGGAGCCUGUUCUAGAACUGAUAACCCCCGUUAAACCUCACCCUGCUUUGUCGCGCCCGCCUAUAUACCGCCGUCGUCAGCUUACCUUGUGAAAGAGUACUAGUGAGCAAAAUUGGCACAGCCUAAAACGUCAGGUCGAGGUGUAGUGGAUAGCAGGGGAAGAAAUGGGCUACAUUCAUCCCACGAUGCAUAACGGAAGAUUUAUUGAAAUAAUAAACCUGAAGGAGGAUUUAGCAGUAAGAAGAAAAUAGAGUGUUCUUCUGAAACUGGCUCUGAAGCGCG